rnacentral:sRNA from 1 species
GCAGAUGCCCCGCGCUCAGGCUUUCGAUACGGCAAUCGAGCUCUUGCCGUCAGCUAACCGGCCCACGAGGGGGCGGGAAUCGUUACGAGCUUGCGCACUGAGCGGACUCCCACGGUGCGGGGC